GGUGAGAUGGCCGAGCGGUCCAAGGCGCCAGACUAAGGUUCUGUCUUCAUCUGGUCUCUUCGGGGGCGGGAGUUCGAAUCUCCCUCUCAUCA